UGGCCAGACUCCUACGGGAGGCAGCAGUGAGGAAUAUUGGUCAAUGGGCGGGAGCCUGAACCAGCCAAGUCGCGUGAGGGAAGACGGUCCUACGGAUUGUAAACCUCUUUUGCCGGGGAGCAACGGGGUCCUUGCGAGGGCCCGAUGAGAGUACCCGGAGAAAAAGCAUCGGCUAACUCCGUGCCAGCAGCCGCGGUAAUACGGAGGAUGCGAGCGUUAUCCGGAUUUAUUGGGUUUAAAGGGUGCGUAGGCGGGCUGUUAAGUCAGCGGUCAAAUGUCGGGGCUCAACCCCGGCCUGCCGUUGAAACUGGCGGCCUCGAGUGGGCGAGAAGUAUGCGGAAUGCGUGGUGUAGCGGUGAAAUGCAUAGAUAUUACACAGAACACCGAUUGCGAAGGCAGCUUGCUAGGCCGGAUCUGACACUGAGGCACGAAAGCGUGGGGAUCGAACAGGAUUAGAUACCCCGGUAA
rnacentral:rRNA from 1 species